GGUUGGACACUGGGCCUGGAGCAGCCUGGGACAGUGGAGGUGUCCCUGCAUGGCAGGGCUGCAGUGAGAGGAGCUCUAAGUUCCUUUCAACCC